rnacentral:lncRNA from 1 species
AUUCCAGGCUGUGGAUCCGGUCGUGGGAAGCAGAGUGAACUUCUAGGUUCUGAGCUGACUCCUUGGAAACCCUAGACUCCAGGGACGCGCUUCUAGAACCUGCUCAGAUUGCUACUCAGUUAACAGCCUGGCCCAGGAGGAUUGCAACACCCAGCCUGGCUCCCAGGCAAGCUAAAGAGGGCUUGAUGAUGGGAAGAGGUUAAGGGGUACGUGGAGAGAAAGAAGGAUCAGAAGGCGGAAACAUCAUAGACCUCCUGGGAUGCCUUCUGCAGGAUCACAGAGAAGGCAAAAUUUGUCCUCCUGACUACAAGAUGCCAAGAUACAUUUGUAUCGAGCCACUGAAUUCUCUACCCCUUCUGUAGAGGUGGUUGGGGAAGAGCUGCAGUAGGAAGCUGGGUCCCAAGUAAUGAAGGACCUUUAGAAGCAGAAGGUGUUAGGGUGGGGGCAAAGGACUGAACUCUGACCAACCAGAAGAAAGGAAAAACUGGAGUUCCUUUCCCCUAGGUCUGCCUUUCUUUCUCAGGGUCUCUAUUUACUUCUCAUGCACUUGACUCUCUGCUUCCCUCUCCCUCAUUUCCACAAAGGGGCCCAAGCUUCACAUGCAUCUCGCACCCCCGCACCUUGUGGGCAGGAAAUCUGAGCACAGGCAUUUC